ensembl:lncRNA
AUGUAUUUCACCCUGCCAAAACCAGGCGUCCCCUCGGGCGUCCGCAGUUCCCGGGACAAGGAAAGUUGGAGGCCGCUCCCCGCGCCCUGCGGCCGCGGCGCACGGGACCGUGGCAGCCGCGCUCCGCGCUGCGGGAACCCCGCUGCCCACGCCGCGCCCGGGGCAACGCUGCCGCCCCGGGCUCGCACGCAUCUCCCUCCCGGGCCCGGCCCGGCCCCGCCGCCGACGGUGAUGCCCCGGCCGCCCGCCCGCCGAGCCCGGCCUCCCCUUCCUCCGCCGCGCUCUCCGGCCGCCCCAGGCCCCACCAGCGACCGUCAGAUCAUUCAUCCACAAGUGGCAUAUCCAUGAAGAAGCACAGUGGUUCGUUGGUUAGUAAACUGCACAAGAAGAGUACCAAGAACAUCUAGCAACAGCACAACACUGAAUUCGCAGCACUAGGAAUAGGCAGACCAGAUCCGCAAAGUCAGUCUUGAUAGGUGACCUUGCCUUUGCAACUCUGGGUGAGUUUUCAGGGGAGCUGCAGACUCAGUAUCUGUCUUCCACCAGGUUUAUGAGAUGAACAAUUUCCAUCCAGUGUGUGUGCUCAGACACAUAUGCACUCUGAAUAAACACAUCGCCCACAGACUCUACAGUGCCUUUUGCAAGUAUCAUCAAAAUCAACUCAAAAUCUCAAAAUGGAGAUUGCACAAAGAGAUGUUGUGACAAUAAUGAAGCAGGUUCAGUGGUCCACCUGGUCCACGCACAGUGAUCACAUGUUCCUAAACAGCCCAGACACAAACAAGAACAAAACAAACUGUGGAUUAAAUAUUUUGCCCUUCUUCUCGUAAAAGCUGAUAGGGACCUUAAUCUUACUUGCAUUUAUGAAAGAAUUAAAGUCAUUUCAGUAAUUUCACAUUUCAUUCAGUAUCCAUUUUCAGGUUAGUUAUCAAGUAAAAUCAGUUUUUCAGAGUAGAUUCUGUUAAAAGCCUCCAUGAAAACCAGCACUAUAUCUUUACUGUUUAGAUGGGCUUGGCUUCUUCUUGUUCUUGCUCAGACUGUAAAAUAAAACAGGAGCUUACUGGGAUGCAGUGCUGUGUAUAUGUGGGGAGUUUAUUAUAUCCUUUUAGCAAUGUUUUAGUCCUAAAUUCUGAAUAGACACUUCAUCUUAUUACAGCUCUUUGUAGGAUUACGGACCGGAGAACCCUUGUUUUGAAAGAAAUAUAUGGCAAGCAGGCAAGGCAAAAUACUGGCUUAAAUACUGUAAAGUGCCAUUGAGUUCACCUCAUUUGGCAACAUCUUUCAACAACCCUGGCUGCUGUUUGUAGCAAUAGUUAUUAGUUAUCACGUUUCCUACAGUGUCUUAAUGUAUUAUAUUAAUACAGUAAUACAUGUGAAGAAGACAAAGAAGGGCUCAUUGACAAAAAGAAAGAUAGAGGUAGUAAGCAAGAGGAGAACUGGUCACAAACUACUGGGUCACAAACUGAGGAGAUGAAAUACACACAAGGCAGAACUCCACUCAAAGAGACAGAGCUGCCUGUGAGAGAAAAACCUACUGUAAGGAAUAACGUAAAACCAGACACCCAGACAGCGUUACUUCAUGGAGUCAGAAGUCCAGGCAAAGAGUUUGUAUAUCAAGUUUUCUUGUAUGUACACCAAAAUAAACCACAAGUAAUUUUGUAUAGAUAAUUUCUGGCUUCCUCUAGCAUGCAUGUUAAUUACUGCAAGUGUUUUUAAUUAAUCAGAAUUUUAAAUAUGGAAAACAUGCUUUAUGCAAUAGGAAUGGGGUUCUACAGAAGCUUAAGCUUUCAACUACUCAAAGUUCAACAUAAAAAGGUUGUGUUCCAUUUUAAUUUACUAUUCAGGGCUUGGCUAUAAUUUUGUGCAAACAGGCAAUGAGGGACCACUAAAAUGCAGCUAGUCCUGCUGGCACAGCCCUGCAAUGAAUUUAACAUAAAGGUCUGUUU